CCUACCUUCAUCUGGGGGAUAGCCCGGAGAAAUCCGGAUUAAUACCGCAUAAAAUCACAGGAUGGCAUUAUCCAAUGAUCAAACAUUUAUGGGAUGGAGAUGGGCAUGCGUGUCAUUAGCUAGUUGGCGGGGUAACGGCCCACCAAGGCGACGAUGACUAGGGGAUCUGAGAGGAUGGCCCCCCACACUGGUACUGAGACACGGACCAGACUCCUACGGGAGGCAGCAGUAAGGAAUAUUGGUCAAUGGAGGCAACUCUGAACCAGCCAUGCCGCGUGCAGGAAGACUGCCCUAUGGGUUGUAAACUGCUUUUAUUCGGGAAUAAACCUUAUUACGUGUAAUAAGCUGAAUGUACCGAAGGAAUAAGGAUCGGCUAACUCCGUGCCAGCAGCCGCGGUAAUACGGAGGAUCCAAGCGUUAUCCGGAUUUAUUGGGUUUAAAGGGUGCGUAGGCGGCCUGUUAAGUCAGGGGUGAAAGACGGUAGCUCAACUAUCGCAGUGCCCUUGAUACUGAUGGGCUUGAAUGGACUAGAGGUAGGCGGAAUGAGACAAGUAGCGGUGAAAUGCAUAGAUAUGUCUCAGAACACCGAUUGCGAAGGCAGCUUACUAUGGUCUUAUUGACGCUGAGGCACGAAAGCGUGGGGAUCAAACAGGAUUAG
rnacentral:rRNA from 1 species